rnacentral:ncRNA from 1 species
GGCCGGGAGAGAUUCCUUGAUUGGAGCACCGAAGGGGAAGAAACUCUCAGGUAAAAGGACCGGUC